rnacentral:rRNA from 1 species
AGAGUUUGAUCCUGGCUCAGGAUGAACGCUGGCGGCGUGCCUAACACAUGCAAGUUGAGCGAUUUACUUCGGUAAAGAGCGGCGGACGGGUGAGUAACGCGUGGGUAACCUGCCCUGUACACACGGAUAACAUACCGAAAGGUAUGCUAAUACGAGAUAAUAUGCUUUUAUCGCAUGGUAGAAGUAUCAAAGCUUUUGCGGUACAGGAUGGACCCGCGUCUGAUUAGCUAGUUGGUAAGGUAACGGCUUACCAAGGCGACGAUCAGUAGCCGACCUGAGAGGGUGAUCGGCCACAUUGGAACUGAGACACGGUCCAAACUCCUACGGGAGGCAGCAGUGGGGAAUAUUGCACAAUGGGCGAAAGCCUGAUGCAGCAACGCCGCGUGAGCGAUGAAGGCCUUCGGGUCGUAAAGCUCUGUCCUCAAGGAAGAUAAUGACGGUACUUGAGGAGGAAGCCCCGG